AAGGGGAAGUGCCUGUCCGGCCACUGUGGCCACACCCAGCAGCAGGCCCCUGUGUGGGCAGCACCCGUGGGUGACCAGCUCAGGAUUGGGACCCUCUGCCCAGCGUGGGCUCCACUUGUCCUUGCUGACUGGGGAGAGUGAAGGGUGAGGGGACCUAAGACCAGGGUCCUCAUGUCACUGGACCCUGGCCUUCUGUACAGGCCGUGGGGAGCCCAGGGUGCUUCUGCUCGAGCGCAGCUCCCAGGCCUCCCUGUGAGUGAGGCCCCAGUGCACUGAGGUGAGCACCCCGAGGGAGCAGUCUCAGAUCAAAUGUCCCCUUUUGAGAGAACUUAGCAGCAUGGAGGAAGAUUCCAAAUGCCCAUCCAGGUGAGUGACCUCGCAGGAAGUGACUUUCCCAGGUGAGUGACCUCUCAGGAAGUGACUUCCAGGUGAGUGACCUCUUAGGAAAUAGCCUCUCAGGUAAGUGACUUUCCCGGUUGUGGCCUUUCAGGUAAGUUGCCUCCCUAGCCUCUCAGGGAAGUGGCCUCUCUGGGUAAGUGACAGUCAGGUGCAGUGUCCCCAGGGGGUGCCCUCCCAGGGUCCCAGGUGCCUGCUGGAGCAGGGAUGGGCACACAGGUCUCCCUGCUUCCAAAGCUCCCGGUCAUAACCCACGCAGCUGCUGUGACGGCGCCCGGGGGCUUCACUAGGAAUCUUCCGUGAAGUCAGUUCUCCACCGAGGGCUUGUGAGAAAUAGUGGGAGGGGGUCCCUGUCCUAGAGGGCCUGGCCGUGGACUCUGCUCUUGCCCCACGCUGUCCCCACUGAGGUGAGAACCGAGUGCUCUCAGAGUCCCUCUGCAGAGGCCGGCGCGUGGCACAGUGACCUAGAUCUCAGCACUGUCCCCAGCUGCACACGGGACUUCUGCUGUCAGAGCCUCGCUCGGGCUCCGCUACCCCUCUGGACAGCGUCGGCCAGGCGAGUGGUGACCUCUUCUCCCAGCUGGCCCUGUGGCCAUGGGCAGGGGAGGUCCUGGAGGCAGAGCCCUCCGAGACCAGCAAACUGCCCACCGGGGUCAGCAGGGGCAGCAGGAGGGCUUGUUCCUGUCACCGUCGUAGGCACCAAGAUCGGCCUGUGUGAGGCUGGCUCUUUCGGGAUGGCACUGCCUGGUGUCAGAUGUCUCAAUCAGGAGAACUGAAGGUCCUGCUCCUUUACUCUGGAAUCAACAUGGCAUGAAAUUUAUGUUUUAAUUAAAUUAAUUCUCGUGACAUGGCGACACCUAAGUGAAUUCCCCUGUUAGAAAACCAAGACCUGAUGGAGGAGCCCGGGUCUUUUUGUCCCUGCCCCAGGCGGCCACUGCUCACCUGGGGUGGCUGCUGGGCAGAGUGAGGGCCCUCUCUGGGGCUUUUCCUAUGCCAGGGCCUGAUGGCUACUCGGAAAGGCACAAGUGCUUGUCCAGUGCCCACUGUGUGCCCACAGGGCCCCCCUGGAGCACAGCCGGGGUGAGGGGAGGGGAGACAGCUCCACACAGCGAGGGGGGAUGGGGGACCUGGAGCGCGGGAGGUCAGGGAGGGCUUCCUGGGGAGGCGGUGGAGUUGGAGCAGAGGGCAGAGGUCACGGGGUGACGUGGAGAGCAGUGGUCCUGCAGGGGUUGGGAGGGGAGGAGGCCUGAGGCAGGCCUCCACCCCUCGCCUGGCCUCCACCCCUCCUCUGGCCUCCUCCCUGGCCUCCCUGCUCCUGUUUCCUUACACCCCAACCUGUCCUCAGGACCAGGUCCUGUCUCUGCCCAAAAUCUCCGGUGGUUCCCAUUACCCCCAGAGUAAAAGCCAAAUCGUCACGGGAUACCGAAGCCUCAGAUGACCAUCUCUCUACCCCUCCCUGUGGUCACCUGUCACCCCUCUGGUGUCAUCGCCCUGCAUUCUCCUUGACCACUGGGCUCCAGCCACACACUCAUCACUCCUCUCCUCUCAGGCCUGUUCCCUCUGCCUGUAGCCCUCUGUUCCCCACCGCUUCCUCCAAAUCCCAGGCAGUCCCUCGCCUCCGUCUCCCCGCCAGGUCUCGCUGGGCAGCCUGGGCACGACUCCGAUGGGUGCCGCUGUCACUCAACAGCGCCCCUCUGCCUGCAUUGGUUGUGGUACCUCCUCACCUUUGAUCUGUAGCCCUCUGUGACAAGUGAGGUCCAGGAGGGCUGGGGCCAGCUGCUGUGCUCAUAGCCACGUCCUGUGUCCAGCACAGAGGGACCAUGAGUCCGUACCAGGUGCAUGCUGGGACACUGAACAGGGAGGAAACCAGAGCCUGCUCUCAGCAGACAAGCCUGCCGCCCAGGGGCACAGAGGGCCUGGGGCCUGGGGCCUGAGACGGCCUGAGCCCUUCUGCACUGUGUCCGUGGUAUUAAAAUUUCAUGGGAAGAGACAAGUAAGAAAAAGUAGUCUAAAAAUGUUCCUUGGGAGUGACGAAGAAACAAAUGUGGAGGAACACGGAGGAGGGAAAUCAGCUGAAACCACAGCCUGGGUCCCCGCAUGAGCCUGGGUCCCCUCGUGGGCAGCCUGAGACCCGUAAUCAAGAUCUGUAACGUGUGUAAAGGGCCAUUUAUCCUGGUGGAGGGGAGAAUAAAAGAAACGCCUCAUUGCUUUGAGGAAACAUUUUUUUUACUCCUGCCAAGGGACAGACUCACAAAGGAUGGUAUUUACAUUUUCCUGAAGCCUCUAAUUUUCUCAUUUAUCACUUGUCAGAGCCCGAGGCCCUUCCUCAGCGCCUGGAAUGUUUGCAAACAUCUAAUGAUGCCUUUACCCAACAGCCAGCCUCUGCGAGGAGCCUGCUCCUGGGGCUGAAGCUGCUGAUUUAGUGCAUUAAUGUCACUCGGCGCCAUCUCACAGGGGUCUCAGGGCCACCGUGGGCUCUCAGCUCUUGGGCCCUGUGUCCCCAGGUGCUCUAAGACGAGGAACCAUGGAAACCAUCCCAGCUGCCGGUCAGUGGGGAGACGGCAGAGCACCAGGGGACAAGGCCUCGGGAGCCGGGCCAAGCUCCUCAGCUGCCCCCUGCCCUCCCAUGAUGACCAACACCGGUCACCAGGUGGCCUCAGUCCAGACCAGGACAGGGACCCCCCAGGGCUGACCUUCAGGGAGCGUCUGGUCCUGCUGAGUCCUUGGUUCUGGUGACAAAGGGACACUGAGAGAAGCCAGGUGCUCUCUGGAUCCUCCGUCACAAACCAGCUUAGAUGCCACACAUGGAUGUCACCACCGGAACCUCAGAAAUAACCUUGUAAGUUGUCACACGCUCAGGAGUGCGGGCUCUUUAGAGACUGAACCAGCUCGUGAUUGGGGUCCCUGAAAGGCAAAGGGGUCGGGGACAUUUCCCUUGUUCAACAGCAUCCCCCACUGCUCUGGGGGAGCUUGAAGACGU